ACGCGAAGAACCCUUCCCAAGGGGUGUGGAUAUACCACGAAAAGUCCCCAAAAGUUGGACCCCCCCCUUCGAUUCGUGAACAGGUGGUGCAUGGUUGUCGUCAGCACGUGUCGGAAGAUGUUGGGUUAAGUCCCGCAACGAGGGCAACCCUCGUUUUAUGUUGCCAGCGCGUAAUGGCGGGAACUCAUAGGAGACUGCCGGGGUCAACUCGGAGGAAGGUGGGGAUGACGUCAAAUCAUCAUGCCCCUUAUGUCUUGGGCUUCACGCAUGUUACAAUGGCCGGUACAAAGGGCUGCAAUACCGUAAGGUGGAGCGAAUCCCAAAAAGCCGGUCUCAGUUCGGAUUGAGGUCUGCAACUCGACCUCAUGAAGUCGGAGUCGCUAGUAAUCGCAGAUCAGCA
rnacentral:rRNA from 1 species